AAGAACUGGAAGCAUGAAAGAUGUGAAGACCUGUUCUGUGGUGUUUUACUGGUGGACUCCUGCUCUUCCCUCCAAGAUUAAAUUCCUGUUCUGCUCCUUCUUGGAAAAUGUUGGAAUUUGGGAUUUUUGAGUAAUUUUCUGUUUGGGCCUUUUGAUCCAGCUUUCAUGGAUAAAAAUUCUCUGCCACAGCAGCUGUAGGGGUGAAGGUGACUGGACUUGGUUUCUCUCCUGGGUCUUGUCAUUCAGAGGUCCCUAUGGGAUAAAGAAGAGUGAGUGUAAAGAAAAUUCAGGGCAGCAAGAGACAGGGUAAGGACUGAAGUGUCUUCCACAUGGUGAUGGAAAGAACAGCAUCAACCUAAAAGCAAAGGGACAAACAGCUCCAGCAUCUGCUGCUGUUGCAGAAAUAGGUCCUGUUUACAUCAGGGAAAGAUCUGCAGACUGCAGCAGGAGUCAACCACAGCUUUCCCAAAAGCUCUCAUCUGACUCAAGUCCAAGCUGGAUUGUGGAUGCUGCAAGGCUGCUGUGUCAGGAUGCUGCAAAAGAGGUUUUUGAAUCUUCUUCCUGUAAACUUGGUGGAGUUUCUCUCUAUGCAGAGGGUACAACCUUUUUGGUCAGGAAACUUUUCCUUGCUCUGUGGUUCUCAUGUUGCUGUUGCUUUUGAAGGGGUCAACACUCUUAGUUUGAGGAAACUGAAACUAGACGUGAACAGGGACUGGAGGAAGGAAGCAAGGAGAAUCCCCUACAAGAUUCCAAUGCCUUUUAUUCUGGGAAAACUAAAUAAAGCAAGAUUCCACUGCCAGUGGCUAAAUAGCAGCGAUUUAUGAGCUGUUCCUCAAAAGCCCCAGACAAGCCCUGAGUCCUGUGGGAAGCUGGAGAUUGACACAGGACACCUCCAGAAGAGCCUGCUGUUGAAACUUCCUUUUAAGCCUUUUUUUCAAGUGGAGAAUCCAGACCUGGCAAAUGCAUAAGGUCAGCCCUUAAAAGAGCAAAGAGUUCUCUCGAAGAAAAUCAAAGAAGCGGCUGAAGUCUGUCCAUUUGUCUGCCUGUCUUCUUGGCCUUGGAUUACUGUGCUUUUCAAAGCUGUGCUUUCAUAGCUGGGAUUAAAAGGUAGAUAUUUCAUAUAGCUCUACAAGCAGCAAUCAUCCUGUUCAUGCAAAAUAUCUGCUACCUGAGGGAUGGGCACAAACCAGAGGUGUUUCUCAUUUGCCUACCAAGCAUCUGGCUUUAGAAUCUGUACAGUCCGUUGUGAACACGUGAGUCCAUUGCCUGCUCUAACGGAGUUAGUGACUUAUUUUCAGUGGUUGUAGAGAAUUUCACUGCAAUAGCACAGUUUGUAGUCUAUUGUGGGACUCAGGAGACACAAUAGCCAGACAAUUCUGCAAUUGUAAUAUAAUUGUACGUGUUACUCCCAGAAAAUGCUCUGAAGUCUUCUCCCGUUGCACCGGUGUGAUAAAAACCUCUGCUGCUUUUCAAGCUCCACAAGUCCAUGCUGUGCCGUGCUGAAAGUGAUAGAAAACCCAAUUAGCUCUGAAAAGUGAAGGGCAGAGAGGGGUGCUCUGGCCUGGAAUUCCCUCCCUUUGGCAGCAGCAAAGGUUAGCCAUGGAGCCUAAUUUCCAUGACCACGUGUGGAUCCACCUAGUGUGUGUUUCCAGCUCUCUGCACAGGACUGUGGGAGGGAGGGUAGGAAGAAUUGAUUCUGGAAGGGGAAAGCCUGAGAGGAAGAGUGGAGUUAAAUGUGACAGCUGGGAUUUUCAGAAGGUAGUUUGAUGGAUGCUGGGCAUCCAACUUCCCCAGAACUCUUUAUCAGUAACACCCUCUAGAUCUUCCUGAGAGACUUUUAGCCUGUCUGGCAGUUUUCAGUGUGUGUGAGGGAAAAUAGGUUGAUUUGGCAGCUCUGGGACUGCAAUACCUCCUUGUGGCUGCUGGCUGAGGGUCUGGCUCUCUGAGGAGCUUCCUGACUCCCUGUGGCUCCCAGGCUUGUAGGACUGGGCUUAGAGAACCCCUGAGCUGCCAGAGGGAGGCUGCUCCUGGUGCAGCUCUUCGGAGUAGUCCUGGGCAUAGAUGUGAGCCUGCAGUCUUUGGGAGGCAAAAUCCACUCCACAGUCCCCAGGGACCUGCUCUGUCUCUCAGUGCAGGCCAGCUGUGGGAGUCCUCUGAGACCCUUUAUCCUGAUCUGUGUGUCAAGGCCAUGUGGCUGACCAUGAGUGACCAGAGCUGCCUUCUUGCAAGGGCAAUUAUCCUCAGAGUCAGCGUAGGUGCAGGCUACCUUUGGAAAAGUGUGAAUAUCCUGGGGACAUCCAUGGGGCAGAAACCUUGGACCAUGCUGUGUGCCCAUACCAUCAGCAGGGAAGAUAUUGGCAGGGGUGCUUUGCUUUUGGUGUGAAACCUUGCUCUGAUGCAUCAUUCCAAGGAAAACAGCUGGAAUUUGCUGGCCAGGUCAUGUGGUGACAUCAGUAAUUCCAGCUCUCUUACUGGAGCUGAUUUAUACAGGUCAGGUCCAGCAUUUCUGAGAAAUUGUUGAUGGUGGGGGCUUCUUUUGUUGGUUUCACUGAAAACAUGAAACCUUUCAAACAAAGAAAGUGAGGUGUCGGGAAUUUUUAGCUGGAGUAUGUGCUCCAGGAUGUUUGCUGCCCUCAACGCAAACUCUUUGCAGACACAGUGGGAGAGGAGGUUAUUUGGCUUGGGGGUGUACCAGGGAGAUGGGACUCGAGUGAGCUUCAAACAGCAAUCAUUGUCAUUAGUGCUGGUGCCACAAUAUGUGCUUGACUCAAAUCCAGCGUUGCACAGAUGAGAACCUGGUGAAACCUUGUAACUCAAUAUUUGUGGUUGUUCCUACCAGUGUGAUUCGCUGUUGAAUAGGCUAGAACAUGAAUAAAAUCAGUAUUUUUUAAA